rnacentral:rRNA from 1 species
AAUGAACGCUGGCGGCAGGCUUAACACAUGCAAGUCGAGCGGGCCCUUCGGGGUGAGUGGCGGACGGGUGAGUAACGCGUGGGAAUGUGCCCUUUUCUACGGAAUAGCCUCGGGAAACGGAGAGUAAUACCGGAUACGCCCUUUGGGGAAAAGAUUAUUCGGAAGAGGAUCGGCCCGCGUUGGAUUAGGUAGUUGGUGGGGUAAUGGCCUACCAAGCCGACGAUCCAUAGCUGGUUUGAGAGGAUGAGCAGCCACACUGGGACUGAGACACGGCCCAGACUCCUACGGGAGGCAGCAGUGGGGAAUCUUAGACAAUGGGGGCAACCCUGAUCUAGCCAUGCCGCGUGAGUGAUGAAGGCCUUAGUGUUGUAAAGCUCUUUCAGCUGGGAAGAUAAUGACGGUACCAGCAGAAGAAGCCCCGGCUAACUCCGUG